GAAGGUUACAGCUCAGUGGUAGAGCUCAUGCUUAGCAUGUACAAGGUCCUGGGUUCAAUCCCCAGUACCUCCA
rnacentral:tRNA from 1 species